AUCAAGAAGAAGCUGGAGAAGAUGACAUCAUCACUUAUGUCAUGUACAGUUACAUUCAAUUAUCAGAUCCUCAACAACAGCCAAUCAGAAAAAGCAAAGAGACUGAUACAACUGUGGUCUACCCAGCAGUGGGCUCUGACGAUGUCAGUAAUGGACAAACAACCAUCAGGACAAGAAAGCUCAGGUACCUCAGGCAGGCAGCUGACGUUGACGUGCAAUAGAAUAACACCGACAAUAGUGCAGGGUCUAUUUUUGAUUGAACCUGCAAGAAACAGUAGAUUUUUUUUUGUUUCUCUAAAACUGCACAAAACAGUUCACCUA
ensembl:lncRNA